rnacentral:sRNA from 1 species
UUCUUAACUUUCAGUUCCCUGCCCAGAUGGACACAAAGAAGGAGAUGUGUUGUAUCUACCAAACUGUGUGCGUUUUACCUGCAGGUCCACCGAGUACACCUAUGAGAGCUGCGGCGCUUUGGGCUACGAUAAAACAACAUGCUACUACGUUAAGAUCAACGCCACUGCCAACUACCCAGAGUGCUGCAAAGGAAAUUUGUACUGCUUGGGAGAUCCUGACUUCGACCCAGCCUAUUUAGACUAUCCAGCUCAGUAAUAGCACAUUCCAGCCCAUUUAUUUGUACCUACUAUAUAAGAGAUUAUCAUAGUAAAGGUUCUUCACAUUAA